GACGAACGCUGGCGGCGUGCCUAAUACAUGCAAGUAGAACGCUGAAGGAGGAGCUUGCUUCUCUGGAUGAGUUGCGAACGGGUGAGUAACGCGUAGGUAACCUGCCUGGUAGCGGGGGAUAACUAUUGGAAACGAUAGCUAAUACCGCAUAAGAGUAGAUGUUGCAUGACAUUUGCUUAAAAGGUGCAAUUGCAUCACUACCAGAUGGACCUGCGUUGUAUUAGCUAGUUGGUGGGGUAACGGCUCACCAAGGCGACGAUACAUAGCCGACCUGAGAGGGGGAUCGGCCACACUGGGACUGAGACACGGCCCAGACUCCUACGGGAGGCAGCAGUAGGGAAUCUUCGGCAAUGGACGGAAGUCUGACCGAGCAACGCCGCGUGAGUGAAGAAGGUUUUCGGAUCGUAAAGCUCUGUUGUAAGAGAAGAACGAGUGUGAGAGUGGAAAGUUCGCACUGUGACGGUAGCUUACCAGAAAGGGACGGCUAACUACGUG
rnacentral:rRNA from 1 species